rnacentral:rRNA from 1 species
CGGAUUGUAGUCUGCAACUCGACUGCAUGAAGCUGGAAUCGCUAGUAAUCGCGAAUCAGCAUGUCGCGGUGAAUACGUUCCCGGGUCUUGUACACACCGCCCGUCACACCAUGGGAGCUGGAAAUGCCCGAAGUCAGUGACCCAACCGCAAGGAGGGAGCUGCCGAAGGUGGAGCCGGUGACUGGGGUGAAGUCGUAACAAGGUAAC